GCUUUUCUUACGAAAGCAAGCCACGACCGCAACGUUGCCAUGGUCAUGUUCUCGCAAUGAGAACAUGAACCAUCCACAAACGUUGCCUCCGUGUGGGUCGCGCCCAGACACGAAAGACAGCGAUCAUGGCCAUCUGAAGUUGAGAGAUAACGACCGCAACCAGGAAUAACACACAAUCGGAAAGGCAUCUUUAAAAAGAAGCGUCUUUAAAAAGACGUUCCGUGUGUGCCGCUCUUUUAGAGAAAUAUACUCUUUUAGAGGAAAAGCUCUUUCAGAAAAUAAAAAAAAGGUCAGAGGGAGUGGCAUGCAAAUACCACUUGCCAAUUUUCAUUGGCCUUUUAUCAAAGACCAGAGGUGUCUCGGGCUCCCAAUAGUGACCCCUAGUGUCACUACAUCGACACAACGUCGAGUGAGUGACAGAUAGGGAAAGUCUAUUAAUCAAACAACAAUAACAAGGAAACGAGAAACCCCUCACUACUUUUGGCUGAAUAACUUGAGUAGCUUUAAAAGUAUUAAUGUAAUAGAAUAAAACAGUGACAUUUUUAAAAAUAAUAUUUUUAAAAAAUAUUGUUCGUUUUUUAAUAAUACUGACCCCUGAUGUAGAGAGUGUGUUAAUUGGUAUAAUAAAUUACCAGGAAAGUAGAGAUGAUAAAAUAAUUUAUAAUUAUGCUUAGCCUUUAUAAAGAUAGAAAAGUAUAAACAUUACAUUAAAGAGCAAUACUUCAGCAGAACAUUCCACCAUUCACAAACUUCAGAAAAUUGUGCAUCAUGCAUUAGAAUGAGAACACAACUAUUUAUUGGCUUAAAAGGUACAAGAACUAAAUCAAUGUUGAACAUUGUAUCUCAGAAGGAGGACAAAGUGGCCCCCCAUGUGCUACUUAAAGAAAUAAUGAAAUGAAAAUGAAAAUUCUCUUAUCAUUUACUCAACCUCAUGCCAUCUGUCUAUGACUUUCUUUCUUCAGAACACAAAUUAAAAUGUUUAGAGGAAUAUUUCAGCUCUGUAGGUCCAUUCAAUGUAAGUGCAGGGGUGCCAAAAGUUUGACGCUCCACAAAGCACAUAAAAGCAUCAUAAAAGUAAUACAUACAACUCCAGUGGUUUAAUCCAUGACUUCAGAAUUGAUAUGACAUGUGUGGGUGAGAAACAGAUCAAUAUUUAAUUCCAUUUUUGCUAGAAAUUCUUCUCUCUGCCCAGUAGGUGGCGAUAUGCAUGAAGAAUGUGAAUCACCAAAAACACAAGAAGAAAGUGAAAGUUAAAGUGGAGAUUGACUGAGCAGGGAGGAGAAUUAAUAGUAAAAAAGGAAUUAAAUAUUGAUCUGUUUCUCACCACAUCUAUCAUAUUGCCUCUGAAGACAUGGAUUAAACCACUGGAGGCACAUGGAUUAGACUACUUUUAUGCUGACUUGUAUGAUUUGUGGAGCUUCAAUAGCACCGAUUCAUUUUCAUUGUAUGGACCAAAAGAGCUGAGAUAUUCUUCUAAAAAUCUUAAUUUAUGUUCUGCAGAAGAAAGAAAGUCAUACACAUCCAGGAUAGCAUGAGGGUGAGUAAAUGUUGAGAGAAUUUUAAUUUUUGGGUGAAUUAUUCCUUUUUAAGCAUGAUGUAGCCCCUGUACCAAACAACUGUUCCCAUGCCUGCUCUACCUCCUCUAUUGUGCAGGAUAUGGCGUGCCAAGUGAUCCUGCUUAUUUAGCAAUUUAUUUAUUUUUUGCAUUCUUUGCAUUGUUUGAACAUGUUUUAUGCACAACAAUAACACUGUCGGCAUUAAGGGAAAUUUAGACCCUACACAUAAACUGAUUUUAAUAUAAUUGUUUCAUACAUUACGAUUUAAAAUGGUGAUCAGUGUAUUGAAAAUAACUUUUUAAUCUUUUCAUUUCUGUUAUCAUGUCUCCCUUUUAUUUUUUGGAAUCAGAGUCAUGUAGUGUUUAUCAUAGAUAAGUGAUGUAUUUUAAAAGUUGGCAUACAUUGUUCGUUAUAAUGGGGCAUAGGUUUUGCAACUCGGUACUCAAUACUCACUACUCAUGAGUACUUUUAAAUGAGCUACACUUUUACUCUUGAGUAGUUUUUAGGACAGCUAAAGUAGUAACAGUACUUCUACUUGAGUAUGAUUUUUCAGUGCUCAAUUAUUACGUUUUAUCGAGGACAUCUCUCUUUUUUCCGAUAAACAUCUAGAUCAUUUUAUUGCCCAUCCCUAUUGAUAACAUUGCAUUAAUCUCUCACAGCAGCCCAAUAAUCUCAGUGAUAGAUAGUUAAAUUACAGGCUACGUUAUAGACACACAGAAUCUAGUAAGCAGAAAUAUGAAAUUUACCUCAAUAUGUUACCUCAAUAUGUUUCUACAAAUUAGAGGCAGGAUUAAUGCUGAUAUCUGGCUUGAGCAAGUUAAACUCACAUGACACAUUCAAACAAUUGGCCUUUUUCAUUGCAAAAAUCCCUUUCAGGUGCAGCUGUGAUGUUCAGCUGUAAACUGUGCUUGAGGCAUUCUCCACAGUUGGCAACACAUUUGACGGGAGUCACGAGACAAGGUUACCUCUUACCAGAGUUUAUUGGAGGGGACGUACUGUUCAAAAUGGUGGAGGAGAUUGCGGUUUCUAUAGUGAAUGUCUCUUGCACACCGGCUACCGCGAAAUAGGGAGGAAUACCCCGGCUUGGAUGGCUAUUUUUCCACUGAGAAAGCUGCUCUUCAGGAAGUUGACAGCAUCUCUGUUUGGGAGUGGCAACAGAGAGGUGAAAAAUGCAAAGACCGAACUAAAUCCAAAGCAACAAAAUUAUGAUCUUCACCAGCUAUACCAGCAAGCUUUUUCCCAUCCAUGCCAAUGACACAAGCUACUGUGAAUGACACAACACUGUUUUAAACCGUAAAUGUCCACCAUGUUGAAAAUAUUGCACAAAGGAAACAAGCUGUGGUCUGAUUUCACACUAUGCUGCUGUGCAGUCUAUAGAUCUGCUAAUUCAUUUCUCUCUUUAUUUUUUUUAAAAAUUUGAAUGUCCUGGUUUAUGUAUAAUGUUUAAUGCAUUUUAUUUAAGACUUUUAAUUUAAAUCUUUAAUCCUGUUAAGUAAUUUGUUAUUUAUUUGUUUAAAUUUAACUGAGAGUAAUGUUUAUUUUCUAAUAUGUUUAUAUUAUAUUGUGACGAGGAGGAGGGUGGGGCCGGGACAUGACUGUGCAUGCCUAGCCCCCAAUUGGGCCAAUCAGCCGAGGAAAGGAAUAAAUGCAGCGGAACGCGGCAGUUCGGAGGAGAGAGCUACAGGCAGCUGCCCUGUAUGCAUUUAUGUUUGUGUGUUUUUGUGUUUAUUAAAACAUUACUUUGAUGCUUCA